rnacentral:rRNA from 1 species
AACCUGGUUGAUCCUGCCAGUAGUCAUAUGCUUGUCUCAAAGACUAAGCCAUGCAUGUCUAAGUAUAAGUAUUAUACAGCGAAACUGCGAAUGGCUCAUUAAAACAGUUAUAAUUUAUUUGAUAAUCGAAUUUACAUGGAUAACCGUGGUAAUUCUUGAGCUAAUACAUGCUGGUAGGCCCGACUUUUUGGAAGGGCGGUAUUUAUUAGAUAACAAACCAAUAUUCCUCUGGUCUAUUGUGGUGAAUCAUAAUAACUGAUCGAAUCGCAAGGUUUUUAACCGCGAUAAGUCAUUCAAGUUUCUGCCCCAUCAGCUUUCGAUGG